rnacentral:rRNA from 1 species
UACGGGGGGGGCAAGCGUUGUCCGGAAUUAUUGGGCGUAAAGGGCCCGUAGGUGGCUAACUAAGUCAGACGUGAAAUCCCUCAGCUUAACUGGGGAACUGCGUCUGAUACUGGAUGGCUUGAGUUUGGGAGAGGGAUGCGGAAUUCCAGGUGUAGCGGUGAAAUGCGUAGAUAUCUGGAGGAACACCGGUGGCGAAGGCGGCAUCCUGGACCAACACUGACGCUGAUGAGCGAAAGCCAGGGGAGCAAACGGG